GUCCAAAACAGGUGUUCUGACUGGAGGACAAGCUACCAAUUAACUAGGAACAAUUUAGUGCAAAGAGAUGGAAAACAAAUAGAAUGCAGAUAAAAAAGGUCACACAGAAGCUAAAUUAUCUGUUGGUUCAUUCUUAUCCCAGGCCAAUUAUUCCAAUUGUGUUGAGAGCCAUAUAAAUCAAGUCUAACUAUCCCAAGUCUUCUAAGAAGCUAUCCUUUAGUUGGAGUCCAACUGAGUAGGACUAGAAAAAUAUCGAGGAGUCCAGUAUUGUAUUCUGGGAAGAAUUAUCAUGACUUACAUUUCCAAAAAAUUUUAUGGCUUGCAUAUUUAAGUCCUGUAAGAUUUAUUAUGCUCAUUCUGAAGAUGAAAAAGCUGAGACUCAGAGGGGAUGAAGUGAUUGUCUGUCAGCUCAGUGUUUAAUCAAGCCAUCUAAAGCAUGAACCAGAAGAUAUGGGAACAACCCCAAGAUAUUUCCAUCAAAUCAAUCAUUUAAAGGAGACUUGGAAGAGGAAGACAUGGGAAAAUAGAAAGGGGCAGACGAGGAGGCAAAGAAAGUGUAAGAGGAAAACAUCACAAGAGGAGUUGUUCCAGCCUAUGAUUAAACCUUUCAUCUCCCUUCACCCUAAAGAGAAGGCCCUGAGCUCCUUUCGUCCAGCUGCC
rnacentral:lncRNA from 1 species